rnacentral:rRNA from 1 species
UACGUAGGUGGCAAGCGUUGUCCGGAUUUACUGGGCGUAAAGAGCGCGCAGGCGGUCGACCAAGUCGCGUGUGAAAGCCCCCGGCUCAACUGGGGAGGGUCACGCGAUACUGAUCGACUCGAAGGCAGGAGAGGGUAGUGGAAUUCCCGGUGUAGUGGUGAAAUGCGUAGAUAUCGGGAGGAACACCAGUGGCGGAAGGCGACUACCUGGCCUGUUCUUGACGCUGAGGCGCGAAAGCUAGGGAGCAAACGGG